GCAGUUCUUCCCCAAAUCGACCAUCCCUCCAACAACCUUACCACCGCCCUUCCAAACCCUAGAUCUGGGCAGUCCGUUCUUCCCCUUCCCCGUGCGCCGCCGCCACUACAUCUCUUCCUCUCCCUCUCCGAUCCACACACGCCCUGCUACGGCCUCACCUCGCUGGCCUGCCUUUGGAUGGAACCGUCCUGGCCUAGUCCUUGCCAGAUCUGGCUGCACCGGUCGUCGGUGCUGCUGGAUAUGGCCGCUCCGGGCCUCAUCACCACCACCCCAAGUGUGCACCUCUCCACCGCCACUUCCCCGUCGUCUUCACAUCCGCCUCGCCCAGUUCCAGAGUAGUCGCGUGUCUCCCGAGGAGCCCGACCCCGGCGGCCUCUCCAUGGACUCCCUCCACCAUAGCUAAGGCAGCGCCACUGCAUCCAGAACACGGUUCAACCUCCAGAACGCUUGUGGCAAGCACCAGAUCGUGAGUUCAAGUAGGUCAACCGCGAGUUGCAUCUACAUCGACAGGUUCUCUUCUUUGUGGGCCUGCACCUUCCACGUGGGCUGUGGAGGACGGAUGGCGCUGUGCUGUUCGGGCUGCAACAUGACGGGCAGCGGUUCUACGUCCCCUCUCAGAGCAGCUCUUUCAUGGUUGUCUGCAUAGGCCUCGUGGCACCAUUGUCUAGGGCUUGUUUGCUGUUGCCCACUUGUACCUCAUGGAAGCCUCAAGCGUGGAAGCCAGCGCACUGUACACACUCAUUCAGGCUCAGGCAUGAACCAAGGAAAAGUUCACAGCAGAAAACUGAAGCUCUAGCACGUGUGCCAGCCGAUGAAGCUCGCCUUAACCCAUCGCUCAUUGCUAAGUUGCAGGUCUUCCAUAUACAUCCACAAUCAUGUGGAGGUGUGGUUAAGAUGUGAUCUUUAAAGCAUUGCAAGUAUGGUAACUCUUUGAAUGUUGUUUCACAAGAUGUUGGCAAGUUUGGUAUUUACUAUUUUGAAGACAUCGCAGGAAGUUAUUCAACAAACGGUUGCGACCAAGCAAUUUGUCUUCCUGGACAUGGCUCCUUCUGUGCAUCAAAGCUCAAACCAUUUGUCUAGCUUAGUUUGAAGAAAAAUAAAAUCUUAGUCUUAUGUAAAUUCUGUUUAUUGAUGUAGCUAGAUGCAACUCUACUCACAUAUGUGUUUUGUCAGUUCUCUUUAUUGAUGUAGCUGGAUGUUACUGAACGCAUGUAGGUCUUGUGUAAAUUAUGUUUAUUGAUGUAGCUGGAUGCUACUGAAAGCUUGAAUGAAUGUUGAAGUAUUGAUAUA